GAAAGACUUGUUCUAGUUCCCGAGCUGAUUUUGCUGUUACAGAAAAGCCGCAACUUAAACCGCCUUUGAUAGCCUAUGGCUAUCUGAACAGCCCAUGUGCAGAGAGGAAAAUGGAAAGGUAUCUUGAGUAGCUAUGAAGUAGUAUGACUUGAUGUAGCGAUGGAAAUAUGCUGAAAGAAGAGAUGCAUGGAGGCAAUGCUUUAAAGUGUGCUUGGUGUUUCAGCUCCAGCAACAAGAUUUGUGGCGUAACAAAAUUAUUGUGGCAUGAGCCUUUUUCAUCAGAUGCAGCAGCUAUGGAGAUGAUGGAUGCAAGCAGGGACCAAAGGACUGGUCCUUUUUAUUUCCCCUGCAAUGGUUGCUCAAGUUCUUUCUCACCCAUCCACAGUGACAUGGCAAGCCCUCUUUGCUGUUGACACUUGUUUUUGUCCCACACAGCAUCUUUUGCCAUUGUGUUCAGGAUUGAAAUGUGCGGGGAGAUAAACAUUUGGGCCAUUGGGGUGGGGUGAGAGGAGCAUCCGUCCUGGGUGAAACAGAUAUGCAUUCCAGAAGGGUGUAAAAGAUCAUGGGUUGUGUCCAAGUAAGUCGUAAGUACGUUUAUUGAAAUUAACGAGCUUAAGGGCAUUGGUUUCAAUGGAUCCUACUCCCGAGUGUGACUUGAUUAGAUAAACCCUACGUAAUAUUUUAAUAAAUGUUAAUAAAAGUUAUUUAGAUGCUAGAUUUAAAAAAUGUCAGGUUCAGAGGCUUAGUGAGAGCAGCAUGGCAGGCAAAUUGAUAGCAAUUUUUCAUUGGCUCUGUGUCUAGUGGCAUUCAGGCACUGAAUCUGGUUAACUGAGCCUGAGACUUAACCCCAGCCAGUUGAUGCAGAUUGGACAACAGUUAUGGGAAGAGAAGUUCCCCAACAGCUUCUUAGAAGCACAGUCUCAUCUGAGUAGUGGGAAUGACAUGUUAUCAGUAAUGCAUUAAAUUUAGAAAGCGCUGCAUCUGUAAGAAAUCAUUAUUUUAGUGUGCCAGCUCCUACACUUUGAAACUCCCUGCCUAUUGACUUCAGCCAGUACGAUUCACUGUACUGUUUUCAGUGCCUGCUUCAAAACAUUUUUGUUUAGGCAAGGUAUGUAGAACACUGACAUGUGUUUUAAUCUGGUUUUUAGUUUAUUGCUUUAUUUUUGUAAACCGCUUUGCUGUUUGGUUUGGUUUUACAAUCAAAUAGUAUGCAAAUUUUGUGAAAUAAAUAAACAUACAAACAUUUUUGGUG